rnacentral:rRNA from 1 species
CAAUAAGCGGAGGAAAAGAAACCAACAGGGAUUGCCUCAGUAACGGCGAGUGAAGCGGCAACAGCUCAAAUUUGAAAUCUGGCCCCAGGCCCGAGUUGUAAUUUGCAGAGGAUGCUUUUGGCGCGGUGCCUUCCGAGUUCCCUGGAACGGGACGCCAUAGAGGGUGAGAGCCCCGUACGGUUGGACACCAAGCCUUUGUAAAGCUCCUUCGACGAGUCGAGUAGUUUGGGAAUGCUGCUCUAAAUGGGAGGUAUAUUUCUUCUAAAGCUAAAUAUAGGCCAGAGACCGAUAGCGCACAAGUAGAGUGAUCGAAAGAUGAAAAGCACUUUGAAAAGAGGGUUAAACAGCACGUGAAAUUGUUAAAAGGGAAGCGCUUGUGACCAGACUUGCGUCCGGUGAAUCACCCAGCUCUCGCGGCUGGGGCACUUUGCCGGCACAGGCCAGCAUCAGCUCGCUGUCGGGGACAAAAGCUUCGGGAACGUAGCUCUCUUCGGGGAGUGUUAUAGCCCGUUGCAUAAUACCCUUCGGUGGGCUGAGGUACGCGCUCCGCAAGGAUGCUGGCGUAAUGGUCAUCAGCGACCCGUCUUGAAACACGGACCAAGGAGUCAACCUUAUGUGCGAGUGUUUGGGUGUUAAACCCCUACGCGUAAUGAAAGUGAACGCAGGUGAGAGCUUCGGCGCAUCAUCGACCGAUCCUGAUGUUCUCGGAUGGAUUUGAGUAAGAGCAUAUAGGGUUGGACCCGAAAGAAGGUGAACUAUGCGUGUAUAGGGUGAAGCCAGAGGAAACUCUGGUGGAGGCUCGCAGCGGUUCUGACGUGCAAAUCGAUCGUCAAAUAUGCGCAUGGGGGGCGAAAGACUAAUCGAACCUUCUAGUAGCUGGUUUCCGC